UACGUAGGGGGCAAGCGUUGUUCGGAAUUACUGGGCGUAAAGGGCGCGUAGGCGGCAUGGCAAGUCGGGAGUGAAAUCCCGGGGCUCAACCCCGGAACUGCCUUUGAUACUGGUAGUCUUGAGUUCGAGAGAGGUGAGUGGAAUUCCUAGUGUAGAGGUGAAAUUCGUAGAUAUUAGGAAGAACACCAGUGGCGAAGGCGGCUCACUGGCUCGGUACUGACGCUGAGGCGCGAAAGCGUGGGGAGCAAACAGG
rnacentral:rRNA from 1 species